rnacentral:rRNA from 1 species
AAGGAUCAUUAAUGAAUUCACUAUGGAGUUGUUGCUGGCCUCUAGGGGCAUGUGCACGCUUCACUAGUCUUUCAACCACCUGUGAACUUUUGAUAGAUCUGUGAAGUCGUCUUUCAAGUCGUUAGACUUGGUUUGCUGGGAUGUAAACGUCUCGGUGUGACUACGCAGUCUAUUUACUUAUAACACCCCAAAUGUAUGUCUACGAAUGUCAUUUAAAGGGCCUUGUGCCUAUAAACCAUAAUACAACUUUCAACAACGGAUCUCUUGGCUCUCGCAUCGAUGAAGAACGCAGCGAAAUGCGAUAAGUAAUGUGAAUUGCAGAAUUCAGUGAAUCAUCGAAUCUUUGAACGCACCUUGCGCCCCUUGGUAUUCCGAGGGGCAUGCCUGUUUGAGUGUCAUUAAAUUCUCAAACUCACUCUGGUUUUUCCAAUUGUGAUGUUUGGAUUGUUGGGGGCUGCUGGCCUUGACAGGUCGGCUCCUCUUAAAUGCAUUAGCAGGACUUCUCAUUGCCUCUGCGCAUGAUGUGAUAAUUAUCGCUCAUCAAUAGCACGCAUGAAUAGAGUCUGGCUCUCUAACCGUCCGCAAGGACAAUUUGACAAUUUGACCUCAAAUCAGGUAGGACUACCCGCUGAACUUAA